rnacentral:rRNA from 1 species
GUGUCAGCCGCCGCGGUAAUACGGGGGGGGCAAGCGUUGUUCGGAAUUACUGGGCGUAAAGGGCUCGUAGGUGGCCAACUAAGUCAGACGUGAAAUCCCCCGGCUUAACCAGGGAACUGCGUCUGAUACUGGAUGGCUGGAGUUUGGGAGAGGGAUGCGGAAUUCCAGGUGUAGCGGUGAAAUGCGUAGAUAUCUGGAGGAACACCGGUGGCGAAGGCGGCAUCCUGGACCAAUACUGACGCUGAACAGCGAAAGCCAGGGGAGCAAACGGGAUUAGAAACCCGCGUAGUCC